AAUUAACGCUGGCAGAGUGCAUAACACAUGCAAGUCGAGCGGGGGUGGCGGAUUAUCGCGCCCUAGCGGCAGACGAGUGAGUAACACGUAAGCAACCUGCCCUGGAAUGGCGGACAACCACUCGAAAGAGUGGCUAAUACGCCGUAUAAUCCCUGAGGGGCAUCUCUCGGGGAUGAUAGGCCCGCAAGGGGCCGUUCUAGGAGGGGCUUGCGUCCCCAUCAGCAGGUUGGCGGGGUAACGGCCCACCAAGGCUAUGACGGGUACCCGGCCUGAAAGGGCGGACGGGCACGAAGGCACUGAGACACGGGCCUUACUCCUACGGGA
rnacentral:rRNA from 1 species